UACGGAGGGAGCUAGCGUUGUUCGGAAUUACUGGGCGUAAAGCGCACGUAGGCGGCUUUGUAAGUUAGAGGUGAAAGCCCGGAGCUCAACUCCGGAACUGCCUUUAAGACUGCAUCGCUUGAAUCCAGGAGAGGUGAGUGGAAUUCCGAGUGUAGAGGUGAAAUUCGUAGAUAUUCGGAAGAACACCAGUGGCGAAGGCGGCUCACUGGACUGGUAUUGACGCUGAGGAGCGAAAGUGUGGGGAGCGAACAGG
rnacentral:rRNA from 1 species